rnacentral:rRNA from 1 species
UGGGGAAUAUUGGACAAUGGAGGAAACUCUGAUCCAGCAAUCCUGAGUGUGUGAAGAAGGUUUUAGGACUGUAAAACACUUUUAGUAGGGAAGAAAAAAAUGACGGUACCUACAGAAGAAGCAACGGCUAAAUACGUGCCAGCAGCCGCGGUAAUACGUAUGUUGCGAGCGUUAUCCGGAAUUAUUGGGCUUAAAGGGCAUCUAGGCGGUAAGACAAGUUGAAGGUGAAAACCUGUGGCUCAACCAUAGGCUUGCCUACAAAACUGUUGAACUAGAGUACUGGAAAGGUGGGUGGAACUACACGAGUAGAGGUGAAAUUCGUAGAUAUGUGUAGGAAUGCCGAUGAUGAAGAUAACUCACUGGACAGAAACUGACGCUGAAGUGCGAAAGCUAGGGGAGCAAACAGG